AAAGGCCUCAAAAGUUUCAUAAUCAUUUAAUCCAUAGCACAAUAUGGGUGGAAAAUUAUAGAGGUAGAAUUGAAGGAGGUGUCAGUUCCCUGUGACAGAGGGCCACUAUGCACUGUAAAAACAUGCAUAAGACAGAAUAGCAUACCCAGAGAGUAUUGAUGGCAGGAAGAGUGCUGCUAGAGUUGUACAGUCCUAAGUUUAAGUUUACUUUAAGGCCGUAAAGGCAGAAGCUGCAGCAAAAGUCUGCUUAAUGCCUUAGUUGCACUCUAUAGACCAAUCAAGCCAACAUUUUUGGUAAGUGUACUGCAAAUUAGCCCCACACCCUUCUUGAGUGUCACUCCCAUCCUCCUCCCAUGCCUGCUCUGCUUUCUGCUCCCGGCCCUAUCUGCCCCUGUGUUCCCUGUUCCCUCCUGGGUCUUCUUUGUGCCACCCACAGAGGCUGUGCCUUGUGGCACAUGUGCUGCAGGUUGGCCACCCCUGCUAUAGAGACUGCCACCCACUCUUUGAGGUCAUGCUGGUCUUUUUCUGACCCAAUGGCAUGAAGGAGGCCAUUCCCACUUUCUGAGACUGAACCCACCUUUCUUUGUUGACUUGGUACCAUUUGUUGACAGGCAGCUCUGUGUAUGGAGUAUUAAAAGCCUAUGUGGAACUCCAGAGUUCAACCUGUAAGUCUCAUUCACUACUACUCAAUAGGUAAUCUCACUUUCUCAAAAAUUAAUUUUCAUUUGAAUUCUUUUACAUUUGGGCAGAUCUCAAGUGAAGAAUUUUAGAAAGUGUUACAAAAGACCAGCAAGCUGAUUUUUAAAGUUCAGGGCUUUGGAAGGUGAACAAGUUUCCAUUGCACUGUUCAGUGUGUUUUGCCUCUGUCAUCAUCUAGUUACUUGGAAAUCACUGGCUUUUACCUUUUAAAAUGUCUCAUAAUAUGCACAACUCCCAACUUGAGGUUUGAAAAGCCAAAGCUAUCCUGACUUGUCUACAGACAAAAGCUGUUUUUGGGCAUCUGGAGGAACAUGUAUCUGUAAUGUUUUGCCUGUUUUUUGAUGACCAAAUAAUAUUUCCUUGGGAGAUUAAUAUGAGUUGUGUUAUUAAUUUCAGUGGAAACAAGAGGCCCUUAAAUUAUCAGCUGUCUGCCUCAGGAGCUAUCCCUGAGCUCAGCCUUACUUUGUACAAUGCUGAGAAGAAUGUGAUUACUAAAUGAGAAAAAUAUGUUUAUUAAAAUAUUCCCAAGUUAUAUUAGUUUAUGCAAAAGGAUGAUGGAUAUAUUGCACUCCUGAUUUUACUGUUUCAAGGAAAAUCUCUGUCAAGUAUUUUCUUGAUUCCUGACAAAGCUCUAAAUCCCUUUCAAUCAGAUAUUUGUAUUUGUCUCACUGGAAUUUUUUCUUUUAGGAAUUUUCAAAGUAUUUCUGGAGGAACAAUAGAUUAAUUGUAGUUUCUUCUCUGAGAGGUACUAGAGACUUGUACCCAUUGAUUCACAGGAUAAGUUUCUAGAUGUCCUGCGACUUGAACUUCUAAUCUUCAACACUUUUUUUUUUUUUGAGUAGAGAAAGGAGAAAAAAAGUCUGUAGAAAAAGAGUAACCAAGGCAAACAAAGCUUAGCAUGUUUGUUUUAGAAAUGUUUCCUUAGAUAGUAUUUGCCACUGGAAUGUUAACAUUAGUCUUUAAACAAAUAAUGUUACUUUCCUCUCUACCUUUCAUCACAAGCCUCAAGAUCUAUUCGGACCA